AAGAAUCUACUAUCAAUAGAUGAAUACAUAGUCUGUUGAGGCAAACCGGGAGAACUGAAACAUCUAAGUACCCCGAGGAAAAGAAAUCAACCGAGAUUUUGUCAGUAGCGGCGAGCGAAAGCGAAAGAGCCAGCAAGUGAUAGCAGCAAAGACAGAAGAAUUGGCUGGGAAGCCAAGCGACACAGGGUGAUAGCCCCGUAUUCGAAGUUUUUGUUGUGGUACUAAGCUUGCAACAAGUAGGGCGGGACACGAGAAAUCCUGUUUGAAGAUGGGGGGACCAUCCUCCAAGGCUAAAUACUCCU
rnacentral:rRNA from 1 species